rnacentral:misc_RNA from 1 species
AAGUCGUAACAAGGUCUCCGUUGGUGAACCAGCGGAGGGAUCAUUACCGAGUUUACAACUCCCAAACCCCUGUGAACAUACCUAUUUGUUGCCUCGGCGGUGCCUGUUCCGACAGCCCGCCAGAGGACCCCAAACCCUGAUUACAUUUAAGAAGUCUUCUGAGUAAACCGAUUAAAUAAAUCAAAACUUUCAACAACGGAUCUCUUGGUUCUGGCAUCGAUGAAGAACGCAGCGAAAUGCGAUAAGUAAUGUGAAUUGCAGAAUUCAGUGAAUCAUCGAAUCUUUGAACGCACAUUGCGCCCGCUAGUAUUCUGGCGGGCAUGCCUGUCCGAGCGUCAUUUCAACCCUCAAGCCCCCGGGCUUGGUGUUGGGGAUCGGCGAGCCUCCGCGCCCGCCGUCCCCUAAAUCUAGUGGCGGUCUCGCUGUAGCUUCCUCUGCGUAGUAGCACACCUCGCACUGGGAAACAGCGCGGCCACGCCGUUAAACCCCCAACUUCUGAACGUUGACCUCGGAUCAGGUAGGAAUACCCGCUGAACUUAA